rnacentral:rRNA from 1 species
CGCCCGUCACACCAUGGGAGUGGGUUGCAAAAGAAGUAGGUAGCUUAACCUUCGGGAGGGCGCUUACCACUUUGUGAUUCAUGACUGGGGUGAAGUCGUAACAAGGUAACCGUAGGGGAACCUGCGGUUGGAUCACCUCCUUACCUUAAAGAA